rnacentral:rRNA from 1 species
AGGACGAACGCUGGCGGCGCGCUUAACACAUGCAAGUCGAGCGAGAACCAGGCCUUCGGGCCUGGGGAAAGCGGCGAACGGGUGAGUAACACGUGGGUAACCCACCCUUGGUACCGGGAUAGCCCGAGGAAACUCGGAUUAAUACCGGAUGGCCCAACAGCUUCUCGGAGCGGUUGGAAAAGGUAGCUUCGGCCUCCGACCAAGGACGGGCCCGCGGUGGAUUAGCUUGUUGGUGAGGUAACGGCUCACCAAGGCUUCGAUCCAUAGCUGGUCUGAGAGGACGAUCAGCCACACUGGGACUGAGACACGGCCCAGACUCCUACGGGAGGCAGCAGUGGGGAAUCGUUGCGCAAUGGGCGAAAGCCUGACGCAGCGACGCCGCGUGGGGGAAGAAGGCUUUCGGGUUGUAAACCCCUUUCAGGAAGGACGAAGCCACUCGGGUUAAUAGCCCAGAGGGUGACGGUACUUCCAGAAGAAGCCCCGGCUAACUACGUGCCAGCAGCCGC